UUGAGCUUGGGUAUUUGAACCGAUCGGAACUCGCUGUGCAGCCGCGUCAAUCAUCAGAAGUAUCAACAUGUAUGACAUACCUUUGCCGCCGACAGACAUACCCCUGCCGCCGACAUAUACUUUAUGGGGUCGGAGAUACUCCCUUGUGCCUGUUACAUAUUUGGAAUUGGCACAAAUUCAAUAUACCCUUAUACCCAUUUUUAAUGGGUUCAGGGUAUAAAAAUGCACAGGACACAAGCAUGCACUCGCGAUAAAAAAAAAAAAUAAACUGGGAAGGCAAACAGAAAAAAUAAAUAUAUCAAAUAUAAAUAUGUAAAACGCCGGUGUUUUAUUAAAUGAAAAACAAAACGAAGAGCACAAAAAAACACGUCUGUUCGCUUCAAGAGGAGAACGAUAUACGAUUUAUUAUCAUUAUUGAAAUUUAUUAUACAACAAAAUUUAAUGGCUUUCAUUAUGUUACGGAACGCUUGUUUCUCUGUGGGCCACGCCGGCUGGCUCAUCGGUUUCUCUGGGUGUAGUCCCAUCCCUGGCCCGCAGUCCGCACAAUCGAUAACAACGAAGCUACACGUCUGUAGUAAAACAGACUUACACAACACUAUGCAAAGCGAACCACCACUAGAUAAGGUCAAACAAUCGGAGCUUCUAAUUCAUGAACAAAAUAAACAGCUGUGACAGCUAUGAACAUGUAAACAACAAAGAGUAAGCCCCGGUUCCGGACCCAGCGUACCCGCCCAACCAUGAGACGAUCACCUACUCGUUUCCCACUUUCUGCCAUUAGAUGGCCAUCAACCUGUGCCGGCUGUUAUGCCAACUCUCACCAUCAAAGAAAAUUUAGCCGGACAUUUCUCUCUUCAGAUACGGUGAUCGUCAAGCCAUUAUUUAUACUUUCGGACUCGCGAACAUUUUCGGCAUUUUAAACCAGAAUAUCUUUUUCUGUUGGCGACCUUCGUACCGGAGACCAAAAAAAAAAACGGCCAGAAAUUAUUGCCAGUCAACAAAGGAAAAUAAAACAAGGGGAGAAAUAUAAACAUAAGUAAUUAUUGCACCAAUGGGGAGCAAAUACCCGCUAAAAUAAAUGCGUGUAUACAUAUGUGUUUCCAACGAAAGGCGUUAUUUGUCAAAGCGCUUAUUACCUUGGCUGCCUAAAGAGCUCUCUGGUGGGGGGGCACAUGCACCUGAGACACAAUAAUCUUUAGGCCCUUUCCUUUCCGGUUCGCACUUUACUUAAUAAAAAUAAAGGAGUACAAUGGGAAGUCCGCGUCUGAAUCUGCCGUUUACUCAGGCGAGGAGGCACGAAAUGGAACAGACUCACUCGGAUGAUAUGGGCGUGGUCUCGCCCGUGGCUGCCUCUUCGUCGUGUGAGUCCCGUCCGUGGUGGCUCGUCUCUCCGUCGUAUGGAUUACGCCGGCACUUGGCCGAGCUUUGAAAAUCCGGCCCGUGAAUAUCGGGGUUGAUCUGGCCAGCGUCCUCCGGCGCGGGAUUCAAGCGUGGUGUGCCAUAGAAUGGCUGCGGCUGCUCUAAUAGAGUAUCGCUUUUGAAGAAGUUUUAAAUGACGACAGUGUGUUUCGGGUGUAUUAUUGUUUCGCGUAUUAUCGAUCUUGGGCACUAUUUCUUUUGCAAUACUUUAGCACAUAAGGAAUUAUUUUCGCAAUUAAAUAAUGAAGAAAGCCCGUCAUGAACAAAUGUA